CUUUGGUCUUUGGACUUGAUGACACCUACAUCUACUCCUGGGUCUGGGAUGCAGCUCAGACCAGGUAGCAGAGGUUGCCUGCAGAGCCUGUGGAACUUGUCCUGUCCUGCUUCUCUUCCUUCCUUCCUCAAGCCCUCCUUUCUUUCUUCUUCUUUUCUCCUUUCCUGUGUAUUUCAGAGACUGUGGAGGAAAUGACCUGAGCGAGCAGCCAAGAUUCGUGGGACAAUGGGCCGGCACUGGGUACUGGCAUGGGAGUGGCGCCUGCUCUGACUCAAGCCAGGGAGUCACCAGGAGUCCUCAGUGUACCAAUCUGCAGAGUGAACUGAGUCUCACGCCAAGCUCAUGAACUUCCUCAAGAAAGUAAGAAUUAGAAGGAGAAGGAACAUGGAGGGGCCGUUGCUUUUGGAGGCCUGUUCCUAGGAUGACCUAGAGGAAGGACCAGAACUGUCUUCAGCAGCCUUGUGCAAGACCUAAGGUGGAUGACGUCUUCAAUCUCCUCCACUCACAAGCCUCCCUCUCCCAUCGUCCAUCACCUCAAGGUGGUGUGAGCAUAGUCCCUGCUUCUUCUUGUGCUCUGUAGCAAUCCCAGGCAAGGCUGUCUAAUAGGCCACAGAGCUGAACUUGAAGAAGGCUCCCACUGCCUUCCAGAACUCUCUCCACUUUGAAGUUUCUGCUAAGAAAGACUGUUGCAGCCCGCUGACACCGGAACUGCUCUUCUUCAUGGUGAGGCUGGUCCAGCUGACCGCCCCUUGGGCUAUGGGACCAGGGUGGGUCCAUGGGCACCUAAAUACACUCUCCCAGUGGACGUCUUCAAGACAGAC